AAAGUACUCCCUCCGUCCCAAAAUUCUUGUCCUAGAUUUUUCUAGAUACGGAUGUAUCAAGUCACAUUUUAGUAUUAGAUACAUCUGUAUCUAGACAAAUCUAAGACAAGAAAUUUGGGACAGAGGGAGUAGUUG
rnacentral:pre_miRNA from 1 species